rnacentral:rRNA from 1 species
CUGGUCAGGACGAACGCUGGCGGCGUGCCUAAUACAUGCAAGUCGAACGGUCUUUCUAUGGAAGCUUGCUUCCACUGAGAAGAUAGUGGCGAAACGGGUGAGUAACACGUGGGUAACCUGCCCAUAAGAGGGGGGAUAACAUCCGGAAACGGGUGCUAAUACCGCAUAGUUUUCUUGAUCGCAUGAUUGAGAAAGGAAAGACGGCCUUUGUGCUGUCGCUUAUGGAUGGACCCGCGGCGUAUUAGUUAGUUGGUGAGGUAACGGCUCACCAAGACGAUGAUACGUAGCCGACCUGAGAGGGGUGAUCGGCCACACUUGGGACUGAGACACGGCCCAAACUCCUACGGGAGGCAGCAGUAGGGAAUCUUCCGCAAUGGACGAAAGUCUGACGGAGCAACGCCGCGUGAGUGAAGAAAGGUUUUCGGAUCGUAAAACUCUGUUGUCAGAGAAGAACAAGUUGGAGAGUAACUGCUCCAGCCUUGACGGUAUCUGACCAGAAAGCCACGGCUAACUACGUGCCAGCAGCCGC